rnacentral:rRNA from 1 species
UUAACGGAGCGCAAGCGACGUUCAACCGCAAAAGAAGCAGAGGGGGCUUAGUGGUGGGGUGACUGCGUACCUUUUGUAUAAUGGGUCAGCGACUUAUAUUCUGUAGCAAGGUUAACCGUAUAGGGGAGCCGGAGGGAAACCGAGUCUUAAUUGGGCGUUAAGUUGCAGGGUAUAGACCCGAAACCCGGUGAUCUAGCCAUGGGCAGGUUGAAGGUUGGGUAACACUAACUGGAGGACCGAACCGACUAAUGUUGAAAAAUUAGCGGAUGACCUGUGGCUGGGGGUGAAAGGCCAAUCAAACCGGGAGAUAGCUGGUUCUCCCCGAAAGCUAUUUAGGUAGCGCCUCGUGAAUUCAUCUCCGGGGGUAGAGCACUGUUUCGGCUAGGGGGCCAUCCCGGCUUACCAACCCGAUGCAAACUGCGAAUACCGGAGAAUGUUAUCACGGGAGACACACGGCGGGUGCUAACGUCCGUCGUGAAGAGGGAAACAACCCAGACCGCCAGCUAAGGUCCCAAAGUCAUGGUUAAGUGGGAAACGAUGUGGGAAGGCCCAGACAGCCAGGAUGUUGGCUUAGAAGCAGCCAUCAUUUAAAGAAAGCGUAAUAGCUCACUGGUCGAGUCGGCCUGCGCGGAAGAUGUAACGGGGCUAAACCAU